rnacentral:misc_RNA from 1 species
AACGCACAUUGCGCUCCCUGGUAUUCCUAGGAGCAUGUCUGUCCGAGCGUCAGUACACACCCUCCGUCAACCUCUUUGCUGGGGUUCGAUCGGGUCCUGAGCGGUGGGAGCCUUCACAGGCCUCGCCCUCUAAAGUGGAAAGCCAGCGGCCCGCCUGCCCAUGAAAGACGUAGUAAUAUCUCAAUGAAUCGUCCGCGAAAGGGUUCUUUGGUUGGGUUUGCCUCAAAUCUUCUUCUCAAGGUUUGACCUCGGAUCAGACAAGAAUACCCGCUGAACUUAA